UUGUGCUUCCACAUGGCAUAUUCUUGUCACUAGUAGCUCCCUAAUUAUUCAAGUCAUUCAACAAGCACUGAUCAAAUAUCAUUUGUGCCAAGCACAGUGGCU